CACUCAAUCUCCAACUUCCUAGCUGCCGUCGCCUCCAUUCGCUAAAAAAAAAGAAAUCGCGCAUCUGUUGCCUACUACCGCCGCCACCGGAAGCUGCGCCACAGCCACCAAGCUCCACCGCAACCACCACAUCUCUCCCAUGCUCUCGGUGUCCUGCCCUCUGCCCCGCCUGGAUCUCGCUCCCUGCAGCGGCGGCGCAUCGCGGCUGCAAUCGGCAGAACACUCAGCGUUCCGCUCGCAGUAGCCUGCUUUGCUGCAUGGCUGGCGGCGGCGCCCCAUGGUCCUCUCAGCCGGUGAUGCUCCGAGGUGUUUUGCUGCAACCAUUGUGAGAAUAGAAGAACCCAAAACCACAACACUGAUACUUGCAAUAGGUAGGCAGGUUGGCAUGGUACAAUCAAGGAUAUCGACCAGAGAGUGAUUGACAAGUUUGAUCAGAGCCAUUCUGCAAGCCCUAUGCAGUGUACCUGAUGGUGUCGACAAGUUAAAAGUGUUCAUUGAAGAUGUGUUUAGUUUUAAACCUAUUAUAGAUAAGACUAUAAGCUCACUGUAAGUGAAAUUUAAGCAGUGAGCUUUAGGUGUUAGUGAUCUAAGCUUUCGGUUACAAGUGGUGGAUGUAUGACUUCUGAUCACAUGAGGUAGAGGUAGGGAAGUUGAUGCUCAUGCACAAUUCAUGUAUGCGAGCUUCUAAUGUAUGUUGUACUUGUAUGAUGUUGAAUCUGAUCAACCAUAUAUUGGGCUAGCUCAUAUCUGAAUGAAUCAAUGUUCAAUGUUU